CACGGCGGGUGCUAACGUCCGUCGUGAAGAGGGAAACAACCCAGACCGCCAGCUAAGGUCCCAAAGUCAUGGUUAAGUGGGAAACGAUGUGGGAAGGCACAGACAGCCAGGAUGUUGGCUUAGAAGCAGCCAUCAUUUAAAGAAAGCGUAAUAGCUCACUGGUCGAGUCGGCCUGCGCGGAAGAUGUAACGGGGCUAAACCAUGCACCGAAGCUGCGGCAGCGACGCUUAUGCGUUGUUGGGUAGGGGAGCGUUCUGUAAGCCUGCGAAGGUGGCCUGUGAGGGCUGCUGGAGGUAUCAGAAGUGCGAAUGCUGACAUAAGUAACGAUAAAGCGGGUGAAAAGCCCGCUCGCCGGAAGACCAAGGGUUCCUGUCCAACGUUAAUCGGGGCAGGGUGAGUCGACCCCUAAGGCGAGGCCGAAAGGCGUAGUCGAUGGGAAACAGGUUAAUAUUCCUGUACUUGGUGUUACUGCGAAGGGGGGACGGAGAAGGCUAUGUUAGCCGGGCGACGGUUGUCCCGGUUUAAGCAUGUAGGCGGAGGUUCCAGGUAAAUCCGGUACCUUUUAACGCUGAGGUGUGAUGACGAGGCACUACGGUGCUGAAGUAACAAAUGCCCUGCUUCCAGGAAAAGCCUCUAAGCAUCAGGUAACAUCAAAUCGUACCCCAAACCGACACAGGUGGUCAGGUAGAGAAUACCAAGGCGCUUGAGAGAACUCGGGUGAAGGAACUAGGCAAAAUGGUGCCGUAACUUCGGGAGAAGGCACGCUGGUGUGUAGGUGAAGUCCCUGCGGAUGGAGCUGAGACCAGUCGAAGAUACCAGCUGGCUGCAACUGUUUAUUAAAAACACAGCACUGUGCAAACACGAAAGUGGACGUAUACGGUGUGACGCCUGCCCGGUGCCGGAAGGUUAAUUGAUGGGGUUAUCCGUAAGGAGAAGCUCUUGAUCGAAGCCCCGGUAAACGGCGGCCGUAACUAUAACGGUCCUAAGGUAGCGAAAUUCCUUGUCGGGUAAGUUCCGACCUGCACGAAUGGCGUAAUGAUGGCCAGGCUGUCUCCACCCGAGACUCAGUGAAAUUGAACUCGCUGUGAAGAUGCAGUGUACCCGCGGCAAGACGGAAAGACCCCGUGAACCUUUACUAUAGCUUGACACUGAACAUUGAGCCUUGAUGUGUAGGAUAGGUGGGAGGCUUUGAAGCGUGGACGCCAGUCUGCGUGGAGCCAACCUUGAAAUACCACCCUUUAAUGUUUGAUGUUCUAACGUUGGCCCCUNACCGGGGUUGCGGACAGUGUCUGGUGGGUAGUUUGACUGGGGCGGUCUCCUCCCAAAGCGUAACGGAGGAGCACGAAGGUUAGCUAAUCCUGGUCGGACAUCAGGAGGUUAGUGCAAUGGCAUAAGCUAGCUUGACUGCGAGCGUGACGGCGCGAGCAGGUGCGAAAGCAGGUCAUAGUGAUCCGGUGGUUCUGAAUGGAAGGGCCAUCGCUCAACGGAUAAAAGGUACUCCGGGGAUAACAGGCUGAUACCGCCCAAGAGUUCAUAUCGACGGCGGUGUUUGGCACCUCGAUGUCGGCUCAUCACAUCCUGGGGCUGAAGUAGGUCCCAAGGGUAUGGCUGUUCGCCAUUUAAAGUGGUACGCGAGCUGGGUUUAGAACGUCGUGAGACAGUUCGGUCCCUAUCUGCCGUGGGCGCUGGAGAAUUGAGGGGGGCUGCUCCUAGUACGAGAGGACCGGAGUGGACGCAUCACUGGUGUUCGGGUUGUCAUGCCAAUGGCACUGCCCGGUAGCUAAAUGCGGAAGAGAUAAGUGCUGAAAGCAUCUAAGCACGAAACUUGCCCCGAGAUGAGUUCUCCCUGAGACUUUAAGUCUCCUGAAGGAACGUUAAAGACGAUGACGUUGAUAGGCCGGGUGUGUAAGCGCAGCGAUGCGUUGAGCUAACCGGUACUAAUGAACCGUGAGGCUUAACCUU
rnacentral:rRNA from 1 species